rnacentral:lncRNA from 1 species
AAUUCAUUUAAUUCUCUAAAGUCACAAAAUAAUUUCUGACUAAAGUAUCACUUUGCAUUGAGACUAAGAAACUCCAAAUUUCAAAUUUCCAAGUAGAACUAGAACAAAACCUCUAGAUCUUUUUGUCCUCAAUUUAUAUAGAGUGUACGUACCAUAACUAACCCCCGAUCCUUUAGUCAAGUUUAAGGUCACUAUGUGAUCUCCACAACCUUUUUAGAAUCCAAAAUAUCUAGGUUUAAUCUAAAGGGGGUAAUUCUUGUAUUCUCUUUGCAAUUUAAUUAGAAAAUCUACAUUGAUUUUCCUUCCAACAGAAUUGACCUCAAACUCAAUGGGUUAGAACUGUUGAGCCAAUAUCACUAUGAGUAGGAAUUAACUCUAUCAACCUCCAAAUCCUUCUUUACCAAAAUUCUUAAUGUCUAUGAUCAAUGCUACACAUAAUAACUCACAUAAGCAUCUCAAAAUCGAAAUUUCUACUCAAUUUUGUAUUUUACAAUGACAAAGAUUUCAAGUUAACACACCCAAUAAUCUCCAACAAUUAUAAGAAAAAUUCAGUAGCCCAAUCCAAAUAUGAGAAUUCAAAUAAUUAGAAUUCCUCCAUCAAUAUGCAUACUCUAUGGCCUCAAAAUAAUCAAAUACAUCAAUAGGAAAUAGACCUAUUUGCAAUAUCCAACAUGCCAAUAUCAGAUAUAAUCCACAUGCAUUUUCAACUUCGAAGAACGUUCCU